GCAAACUUGGUCAUUUAGAGGAAGUAAAAGUCGUAACAAGGUUUCCGUAGGUGAACCUGCGGAAGGAUCAUUACCAAAAUUGUCCUAAUGGAUAAUUUUAUCCAUAUCCACCUUGUGUGAAUCACUGACGUGUUUGUUGGCAGGUUUAAAAGCUCUCCUAUACUGGACUGCUGUGAGUAACGACAUUCAGUCUGCGCUCGGCCUGCCAAUUUUAUUAUUUACAAUUAAACUUGUCUAAAUACACUGGUCUGAAAUACAUACUUUAUAAUAAAAACAACUUUCAACAACGGAUCUCUUGGCUCUCGCAUCGAUGAAGAACGCAGC
rnacentral:misc_RNA from 1 species